GGAAGCUUCAACCGAAAGUCUUCGCCAGGAUAGCUCGACUAUGGGGUCCCUUGAGUGUGGACCUCUUUGAGUCCAGACUGAACACUCAACUUCCUCAAUUUUUCAGCUGGCGACCGGACCCGGAAGCCUUGGCGACAGAUGCCUUCCUUCAGGACUGGACCGGGGGACGAGCAUACGCCUUUCCCCCGUUCAACCUGAUCGCUCGGACUCUAACAUACAUUCGAC